AGAUUUUGUACCAGCAAACCUCACACUGUUUGGGCUUUUAGAAACCCAAGUAGUAGAGGUUGUAGCUGCAUCUUCCAUGAGACCGCAAUGACGGCCUUGAAAGGUGGAGUUGUGGCUGUGGGUAUGAGGAAGAAAAGUGGAAGCUUCUCAAAUUACAGUGGAUUCCCUCUAUGAAAUCUUUUGAUGACUCAUUGAGAUAGAGUGUCAAGAUUAAGGUGUAAUGAAUUUUCUGAAGAAUCAAGGUUGAAAUAUGAUGUAUGAAGAAGUUUCCAGAUUGAGAUUUCAUCAAACGUUUAUUCUCUCGGUGAAGCAUUUUGCCAUAUAGAAGAAAGGAGGAAUAGCGUCGAAAGAACUCGAUUAAUGGAAUGAACAUAAACUCUUCUAAUCAAUGAGGAUGUCAAAUCACUUCUUGAUAUCUUACACCCACCAUUGAAUAUGGAGCAAUGGGAUUACAGAGGCAACACUAUUUUCACCGACUGGAUGAUGUACUUAACCAACCUCAGGCACUUAAGAAUUUGUCAUUGCAUAAACUGCACUACCAAACUACCUUGUUCAGAAUACAACAUUGGAUAUAUCCAUUGAGGAUUGUCCUAUGUUAGGCCACCCUUGAAGGGAAAAAUAAGAGGGAGCUUCUCCAAUUUCAUAGAAUUCCAUCUAUGAAUUACUAGGAUAGUUGAGUGAGCAUUUCACGUUAUGGAGGACAGGAGGAAUGAAAUUAGAAAAUAGUCGAAAGAAUUUGAUUGAUGGUUGGCUAUGCUUUCUCAAUGCUGCUUUCUGUUCUUCUUCAUUUCAUCAAAUUACACUGGAUGCCCUCUUUAAAAUUUUGUUGACUCUUUCCAGUGAGGCAAGAUGUCAUGAAUUUGCUGAAGAAUCAAGGUUAAAAAUGAUAUAUAUAUCAGAGAAGUUGCCAGAUUGAGGUUCUAGUUGCAUACCUUUGCUUGACCAAAACUUCCCUAUAUCUACUAAGCAUUUCUUCUCUUUCAGCUUUUUGAAACCAGACAUUAAAUUCGGUCUACAGAAUUUUCUAUCAUGCUGGUAACUUGACAGGCCUCAAAGUACCGUACUUCUUAAAGCAUUUUGCGUUAUGGGAGAGAGGAAGAAUGGCAUUAUGAGAAGAGUCGAAAGAACUCGAUGAAUGGAUGAAACAAGUGCUCACUCCGGGGUCUUCACAUCUGGAAUUUGGAAGGUCUUCUAAUUACACUAAAUUUCCUCUAUGAAAUCCUCAAGGACUCAUUCUAGUGAGGCAAGUACCGGUGUUAAGAAAUUAAUGCUGGGUGUAACUGCAAACUGGAAAUUCUGCAUUUCUUAUUUCAAGAAACACCUUCUGCUCCUACAAUCUCAAACACAGCAACUCUACUUUAGCUCAGCACUGGGAAAUGUUUUGUAUGACUGUGUCUGUACUCCUUAAAGAGUUGAUUUACUAAUGCCUUCCUUAUAUGCUGAGAAUUUACAAUUUCUUUCACUCAUUAGUUGAGGAAAUACAAAAGUACAAAGCAAUGAAGGACCAAUUCUUUAUAGUUCAAUGGCAGAAACUUCAUUGAGGCACUUAUAUUGUAACAAGAAGAAAUUUUUGCCUGACGAAACAACUGCUGAAUCUUCUGGUUUUCACAUUUUUUUUGAGUGCUUCAGUAUCCAAUGGUCAUGGAAUCAUGAAAUGUUAAAGGAAGGAAUUCGAACAUAAUUGUAAAUUCUGUUGAGAAAUUUAAGUUUUUCAUGUAUUUAAUUUCAGUUGUUCAAUGGAGAUAGAAGUAUAAAUGUUACUGCUAAGGAAUAAAAAUUCUGGAAAUUAUUGUCACUCACGGGUGCCGUAAAUAUAAUCUACAAUAAACAGUACAGUGUAAAUAUUUGUUUUCCUUUUUGA